UAACUGAGACACCAAGGAUGAUGUUAACCGAAUUCAAGAACAUCUGCCACUAAAAGAAAUCUUGAGAGCUAGUCUUUGCACCAAUUGCCAAGCAUAUAAGCCUAUGGGGAGGAGCCCAGAUGCUGUUCAUCAAUCAUGAAGACCUGGCAGAUUAUUUUCAAACAUGGCCUCACCUGGAUAAUGGGACUUUUACUGUAAGUUUUAAGUGUAACUAGACACAUACCAUGCAAGUUGAUUCGCAUCCUAAUACUUUACCUUACUAUACAGUGGAAGUUUUUCGGCCAUUCAAAACAAAAAUUUUUUUAAACACGGAGAGGGUCUUUAUUUUUUUAAACUUAUUUGAGAGAAAGUGCAUGCAGGGGAGGAGCAGAGAAAGUGGGAAAGAGAGAAUCCCAAGCAGGCUCUGAACUGCAUGAAGCAUGAUUCAGGGCUCAAUCUCAUGAACACUGAAAUCAUGACCUAAGCCAAAAUCCAGAGUUGGACACUUACCUGACUGAGCCACCCAGGCACCUCUGGAGGGGUCUUUAAAAGGUCAUAAUUUUUGAAAUACAAAUGAAAUUCUUGAUAUUUUUGCUUUUUCACUCAACUUUGUUUCUGAUAUGUAGCUUUGUUGUUGCCUAUACCUAUAGUUAAUUGUUAAUAGCUGUAUAGUGCUGUAUAGUGUAUAAGUGCUGUAUAGCACUCUGCUGUGUGAACACUUUAAAUAUCCUAUCUCUUGAAAGAGACAUCUGGGUUACUUUCAGUUUCUCAAAAAAUCUUUUUAAAUUCCUUCAUGAAUAUAGUAUAAUUCAUUUAACCAUUUCCUUAUUGUUAUGUAUGAAUGUUAUUGCAAAUUUUUAAUAUUAUAAUUCUGUAACACAUAACUCAGGGGUUAACAAACAUUUUCUAUAAAGGGAGAGAUAGUUAAAUAUUCAAGGCCAUGUGGACCAUAUGCUCUCUGUUGCAUCUACUCAAACUGGACAGUCUCAACAAAGCUACAGACAGGUUGUAAAUUAUUUGGCAUGGCUGUGUCCAAUAAAAUUUUAUUUACAAAAAUAAAAAUAGGCAGUGGACCACAUCUGGCCUAUGCACCUAGUUUGUCAAUUCCUGACAUAAUUGACUCUACUAUUAUUUUCAGCUUCCGGGAAAUGGAAUUACUGUGUAUUAAUUACACUGCCAAAUCACCUUCCAGAAAGACCGCAGCAAGCAGUUUAUACUGUCACUAGCAGUUUAUGAAAAUGUUGCUCUUACCCUCAUCAGCACUGAGUUUUAUCAUUUCUUUAAAUCCUUGAUAAUUUGAUAGAUGAAACAUGGCAUUAGAGGCACCUGGGUGGCUCAGAUGGUUGAGCGUCCGACUUAAGCUCAGGUCAUGAUGUCACAGUUGGUGAGUUCCAACCCCACGUGAGGCUUGCUGCUGUCAGCGCAAAGCCCACUCUUCAGAUCCUCUGUCCCAUCCCCCUCUCUGUGCCCCUUACCUGCUCACGCAUGCUCUCUCUCUCUCUCUCUCUCUCUCAGAAAUGAAUAAACGUUACACAGAGGACUGAGAUUUAAACAACAAAAUAAAACAUGGCAUCUCA